rnacentral:lncRNA from 1 species
GCGUUUCUUGGAAAUGAAGGCUUGAAGGGGUCUUUGGAAAAGGUGCUUUAACUCGUGAGUCACUUGUGAAGAUUUUGUUUUUUAUUACGUGGCAGGUUAAGAGCCUUUUUUAAAAGCCUUUCUCUGUUUCUGGAAGCACUUGGCCACUUGAAGUUGUCGGUUAGAGUGGUACAAAUUAGGAUGUUGUCCCAGAGGAGCACAGCUCUUGAGGCUUACACUGCCGCGUGACCUCCAGGACAGGCACAGACUGCUGAGGUCAGUGAAUUUGUCAUGGUCCUGCCACUACCCGGGGCUUCUGCAGCAGUUUUAGGAUUCUUCAAGCCUUAACAGACACACGAAAUCCAUCUGCUCUGGCUGCAAAGCCAAUGAAACUGUCAGCACCUAGGGAAAAACACAUCUCCUCAGGAUUUACCCACUUGGAGGUCACGGAGCUGCUUGUGAUGGCAUGAACAAGGGGCAGCUGAGACCUCAGCUGAUUUCAGUUUCCCCAGAACCAUCCUGUGAUGGCUCAGCUUGAAAGGAGAAAUACCCUGGUGUUGAAUGGGAACCCAUCAGUAGCAGCCUUGGGGAAGAAGGGGUCGAUGCCUCGGUGGAUAAUUUCCCUGGAUUCCAGAGCAGUGGAGCCUUCUGACCUAGUUGUGGGCAGUACUGAUUUGAAGCUAGGGUGAUCAACAAACAGCUCUUGGCAGGAUCAGAAGGAUAUGAUAUGAACUGUUACGCUACACACAAGAUACAUCCUGUGCAGGAAAUACAAGGGAAAAACCAAAGGUAUUUUUUAAAUGGUUAUAAUUUAUUUUCCACAAGUAGCAAAAUACAGUCAGUUUUCAGACGUAAGUAGAGAAUCUCAAGUUAGGAUCUUAGGUCAACAUUAAUAUGUUUCAUCAAGUGGCAGACUUAUUUUCUCUGUUAAACUUUCAGAUGAGCCAUGCACUCUGAAGUCACUGCUGUCUUGUUGAGAGGGCACCAGAUGCAGCUGUCCCACAUGCUGCUUUAGUUUCUCAUUCUUGUAAAGGCAGCUGCAUGUUUUCCUAUUUAGAAUACAUCUGGUUGACAAAAACUUAGAAAAUUCUCAGCUUGUAGAAGGGGAAUGGCUUUUAUUAAACAGGAGUCGGGUACAAUUGCAUUUUCUGUUGGAGCAGUUUUCCUUGCUAGAAUAAUUUAGGUGAGUGUAUUUUUUAUAAAAGGUUCAGUUAAAGCAGUGUAUUUUCAGGGUACAUUCGUGUACAUAUUUAACUUUUUUAUGAAAAGCAGCUUUACAUGUAUGAAUACAUAUCAAGAGUAUAUUGUUACUGAUGAAGAAAACUAAAAAGACUCUGUAUUAUAGGCAUUCCUUACUCUGGCAAACUUCUUAUUAGCCAAGCGCCUUGUCUGUGCAAGGACUAUAGGGGAAAAACGAGAACAAAUGACUAUUCAGUGUGUCAGUCUUAACCGUCCCCUUUUAUAUUUCAGAGAAGCAGCACUUGCAUAUGUAUUUAUUACAUGGCCAUUAUAAAAGAAAAUGCUUGAAACAACUGGAUGGGAUUGUCACUCAACAUAGGUAACUCAGAGCAGAAUGGCAAAAUCCCACAUCCCUGAGCCAAAGGGUUUAGGAAGGAGAAUUUAUUUAAAGAUGAUUGUCAGACAGCGGUGUAAGUGGCAGCAUUAUCUCAAAACCAGCUAACUGUAAUCUCUCUUUGAAGGCUGAUCUUGUUGUUUCUUUAGAACAAAAUCUCUGGUUUUUGACCUAUGAUCCAGCAAGUUCCCUGCAUGUCUCCUAAUGGUUCCAUGAGUUGUAUUGAAAGAAGUGUGUCUGUUUAGCAGGCGUCUCUUUUGCUCUGCAUGGCUCUGUAUGUCCACUGGAAUGUGCCUCACAGGUUCCCCAAACGAAAACUGUUCAUCUGCUGCUCUGGAAGGUGAGCAUGCGAUGUCCACUGAGUGAGGUUCCUGCCCAGCACCGAGAGCAGUUCAUGGCCAAGACCUUUUGCCAUUGAUGUCUGACUCUGGGGAGUGCUGUGUGCCGUGGCGAUUAGAGCGUGCUAGUCAAUAACAGAUGCACAAACAAUUGCAGCAACUCCUCCCCAGUUGACAUUCAGAUGUCCUGCAACAGCGGUUCCCAGGGUAUUGUCUGUCCGUAGGAAUCUUCAUUCUUCUAGUAAAUGCAUCAACUGGCGUAACAUUCAGGGUUUCUUUUCAAGGUCUUGUUUUACAUGACAAUAAUCUGUUGUUCAGCUGCCAUGCUCCUUUCAAGUACAUGACCCUGGCAGUAAUCUUCAACGCUAUGACCAUCCUUUGCAUUAAAUCAAACUGCAGUGAAUGGCUUCUUUAUUACAAGUGCCAGUAUGAAUGCAAAAACAUUUUCAGUAGCUUAUAAGUGAAAUACGUAUCUGACUUAUAAAAAGACAGCUGCAAAAGUCCUUCUAGAAAGACACAUUGGUUGGGAAGGGAGAAGAAAACCCACAUUUGUGUUUUUUAAUCUCUUGAGGUCAGCAAGCAACAGCACAGAAAGCCCCCACACGUAUGUGAAAAUCAGCAGACAGCGUCCACAGGAGCUGAUCAAGCUAGAUAAAAGUGAGCUCCAGAUACUGGCAAAUAGCAGUGGUUGGACCAUAGGCACAACUGUAUCCUGAAUUUAAGUCUUUCCUUAAGAAACAGAUACAAACUUGUCCUGGGCUAGAAUCUGUAAAAUGCUGAGCAUUCCUGCACCAGUCUGCCAAAACACAUGCUUUGAUAUCAACCAUGUGAGUAAAGACUUGCUCAUCAUGUCAGUAGUAACGAUGACAUUUGGAUGGGCUGAAUGGCUAGGCGGUAAAAAAUAAUGUUUUGAGUACCUGACUGGAUCGUUGCAGAAGUAUCUGUUUCUUAGUUCAAGUUUGUACCUUCGGUGGCUGGGGAGGCACCAGUUACUUGGUUCUUGUAACUUGUCUUUGUGCAAGAAGUUUGAAUCUAAACUUUGCUAGCUAACCCUGUGUCAGCCCUUGUGCAAGCAGAUGUCUUUUCAGAAGCUGAAGGAGGCUUUAUUGCUAAAGUGAAGCAGCUUUUCUAAAGAAUACGAGUCAAUGUUGGGAUGCAAUAACUUGUGCUUGUUAGGAUGCACCUUCCUUGUAGGUGAAACACCAGAUAUCAUUGCUACAGGCAAAAGCGAAGUGGCUGUUCUUUUCCUGACAAACCUGAGAUGCCACAAUCGUAUGCAUAGCUAUUGAAAUUAUGCAUAUCAUGCCAAAUAUGGAUUAGGUGUUAGUUAAGCAAAUUUCUCACUUUUCAUAGGGAAGGCAGGGCUGAGAGUUGCGUGCUAGGACACUUCACAGCUUAUAUUGCAUAUUGUGUUAUGCUUGGAGGCUGAGUCUGUUGGUGCUGUUUUGUCAUGAAUGCUGAAUCAGUGCAUCAUUUUUGUAUGUAUGGAGAGUAAUAGGUGGUCUUAAUAAAUGCAACAUUCAAAGCA